GGGCGACUAGCUCAAUUGGUAGAGCGGUUAGCUUAUACCUAACUGGUUUCAGGUUCGAGUCCUGAGUCGCCCA
rfam:Microgenomates (Woesebacteria) bacterium GW2011_GWA2_44_33 TW60_C0002, whole genome shotgun sequence.